rnacentral:rRNA from 1 species
AUUGAACGCUGGCGGCAGGCCUAACACAUGCAAGUCGGACGAGCGGCGGACGGGUGAGUAAUGUAUGGGGAUGUGCCUGAUGAUGGGGGAUAACUACUGGAAACGGUAGCUAAUACCGCAUAUCAUCAGCUGAACCCAUAUGGUAUUAGCUAGUAGGUAAGGUAAAGGCUAACCUAGGCGACGAUCACUAGCUGGUCUGAGAGGAUGAUCUGCCACACUGGGACUGAGACACGGCCCAGACUCCUACGGGAGGCAGCAGUGGGGAAUAUUGGACAAUGGGCGAAAGCCUGAUCCAGCCAUGCCGCGUGUGUGAAGAAGGUCUUCGGGUUGUAAAGGACUUUUGUCUGGGAAGUGGUACCUACAGAAUAAGCACCGGCUAACUACGUGCCAGCAGCCGCGGUAAUUC